UUCCUACGGGAGGCAGCAGUCGGGAAUUUUGCACAAUGGCCGAAAGGCUGAUGCAGCAACGCCGCGUGAGUGAAGAAGGCCUUCGGGUUGUAAAGCUCUGUUGUCCGUGACGAACGGCCAGCUCAGGAAAUGGGGUUGGUUUGACGGUAGCGGACGAGGAAGCCCCGGCUAACUACGUGCCAGCAGCCGCGGUAAUACGUAGGGGGCGAGCGUUGUCCGGAUUUAUUGGGCGUAAAGGGCGUGUAGGCGGUUUUUCAAGUCGGGGGUGAAACCCUGGGGCUCAACCCCGGGCCGGCCUCCGAAACUGGGAGACUUGAGUGCUCUAGAGGGUAGUGGAAUUCCCGGUGUAGCAGUGAAAUGCGUAGAGAUCGGGAGGAACACCAGUGGCG
rnacentral:rRNA from 2 species